rnacentral:rRNA from 1 species
UGCCAGCAGCCGCGGUAAUACGAAUGGGGCAAGCGUUGUUCGGAAUAACUGGGCUUAAAGCGUCCGCAGGCGGUCUAUAAAGUCAGAAGUGAAAUCCCAGAGCUCAACUCUGGAACUGCUUUUGAAACUUAUAGACUAGAAUAUUGGAGAGGUCGGGAGAAUUCCUAGUGUAGAGGUGAAAUUCGCAGAUAUUAGGAGGAAUACCAGUGGCGUAGGCGCCCGACUGGACAAUUAUUGACGCUCAGGGACGAAGGCGUGGGGAUCAAACAGGAUUAGAUA